rnacentral:pre_miRNA from 1 species
UUGUGUGGAUGAAUACAAAAAAAGUGGUUUCUUGAGAUAGAAUCUACUCCUGGUGAAGAUGCCAUGAA